GCUGGAGGAGGAAAGAAGAACACGUGACUCGGAGGCAACUCUCAAACGAGGCCCCGUGGCCCCGGAAGCGAAUGGCGCUCCCUCCCAAACCUGGCCUAAACAGCGGAUGUCGUGAAGUCGUGGCUCUGGAACCUUCAACUCUUCUUCAAUCGCUGUCUCCUGUGGGAAUUCUCAUGGGACAGAACCAGGUGCAAAAUAUUGACUAUAUGGACCAGAUCCACCAAACAUGACCUCAAGGGGAAUGAUCUUCUCAGUGUUCUCCCCAUUGAUCUUCAGAAGACAGAAGUCAUCACAUUUCUUGGCCUUGAACUGGCCUUUUCACCAAAGCUGAGCAGCAACGCUAUAUGACACCCCCGUCACCUCCACAUUGCUCUCUCCUUCCCUUCCCCUCAAGCUAUUCUUCUGUCUCAAGUUACCACAAGGUGACUUGCCCAAGGUCACAUAGUAUCUGAGGCCAGAUUUUACUUCCUGACUCUAGGACCAGCAUUGUGCCACCUAGCUGCCUUUUACCCAUACAUAUGUUCUCUGUAAGUUGAAGAGAUUUUUUUUCUUCUGUGUUUGGGCAUGUCUUUCUGUGAUCUGGGGUAGAGGAAAAGACUCACAUUAUUAUAAUCAUAUUGAAUUAAUGUUGGGGAUGCAAACUGACUAGAUCAGAUUCUUUCAUCUGGAGAUAGCCAGGGAGACUGAUGAAGAAAACAGUAACCCUUGACUCCAAAGGUUUUCUACCAGCCCCUGAAUUUAUUCUUAUCUGACCUACUCAUGAUUACAGUAUUCAAAGGCCGCUAGGAAUUGCUGAUCCUGUACUGAAACAUGGAGCUCCCUUUUCUGCUGGUGGGGGCCAUUAUCUCAGUAGGACCAACCUCUUGGGAGCUUGCAGCUUCACUGCCACAAGACUAUCAAAGAUGGAACCAGGGCAAGUGAAGAGGAUGUGCUGAUGUCACCUUGUAGCUUUUAUGUGUGAGUAUGUCUCUGGAGUAUGGACAUUAUUCAACAACCCCUGGAGUUAGCUAAUAGUUAAUAUGUUUCCUGACAUCCUGCACUGAUCGCCAUUUGUUGGACUCCUGUGACUGGAAUCAUAGCAGGGAGCUGAGGUUUAUCAACUCAGUAAGGUCUUCAGCAGGAAUCUCAGCCCACCUACGGUGUGUGUGUGACCAUGGACAAAUCAGCUUCCCUUCCACCCUUUUCUAGGAGGCAGCAUGCACAUACAAUGCAAAGCUGAAUCGAGUCAGAGUACUUUACUUAUAAUCCUGACUCUAAUUCUUAUGACCAGUGUGAAUUUGUGCAGAUGAAUUAAUUUCUCUGGGCCUCAGUUCCUUGUCUGUACAAUGGAUGGACUAAGGUCCUUUCUGCUUUUUUUUUUUAAACCCUUACCUUUCGUCUUGGAGUCAAUACCAUGUAUUGGCUCCAAGGCAGAAGAGUGGUAAGGGCUAGGCAAUGGGGGUCAAGUGACUUGCCCAGGGUCACAUAGCUGGGACGUGUCUGAGGCCAGAUUUGCCUUUCUGCUUUUUAAUCUAUAAUAUUUUAAUUUAGACCUCAGUUUUUCCAUCUGUAAAACAUGUGAGUUGAAUUAGAUGGUCUAAUUGAAUUCCCUUCAGAUUCUAAAAUUCUACAAUCUUAGGACACUACACAGUCUCCUGUGUACUUUUCCCAUAUUUCUCACCAAAGAGGUUUAAGAAGGUACUAUUAUAGUACCUUCACAGUGCAUGGAUUAUAACAUGAGACCAUGGGAUAUUAGUGACCUGUCGUCUUCUAUGCUGAGAGGUAUGUUAGCCACUAGAGUUCAAAGCUCUGACUAAUGGCCUGGCAUGGUGAGAAUCUGACUGAUCCUUUCUGAGGGCCUUGCCAUUGUUUUUGACACCUGGUAGCUAUGCUAAUAUGCCACAUGUGCCCAGCCAAGAGAUUUUGUUGAGAAAGACUUGGCAGUUACUCCUCAGGAGUAGUGUGGUUCCAGUGGAAAGUGAGUAGACUCAAGUUCUAGUCCCACCUCUAGUCCUAUCAAGGGACAUCUCUGAUGGGAACAUGACAACACAUAAAGGAUCUUAAGUACUUUGUGCAUGGUAUGGUAAAUCAUUGUGACAACCAUCCAAGGGCAAUGUGGUUCUAGUCUUAUCUUCUCCCAUACCUACCUUUCAGGGUUAUUAUGAAGAUCAAAGUAGAGAAUAUUUGUAAAAAUCUCAUAGCCUAUAGUAGGAGCUAUGUAAAAUGCUUAUUCUCACCCUCCUUCUCCCACCAAAACUAACAAUGUGACCUUGGAAAAGCUCCUUUAUUUCUUUCUCUGGCUCUUAAUUUCCUCCUGGGACAGCUAAGUGGCUAGCAGAUAGAGCAUCAGGCCUGGCGUCGAGAAGACUUCUCUUCCCGAAUUCAAAUCUGGCCUCUGAAACUUAUAGCUGUAUGACCCUGGGCAAGUGACUUAACCCUUUUUUGCCUCAGUUUCCUUUUAUGUAAGAUGAGAUGGAGAAAAAAAUGACAAAUCACUUCAACAUCUUUGCCAAGAACACCCCAAAUGGGAUCAGAGAGAGUUGAAUAUGACUGAAAAAUGACUGAACAAUUUCCUCCUAUAUAUGAUGGAAUUGAACUACUUGUUCUCUGAUAUCUUUCAGCUUUAAUAUUCCUAUAAUUUUAUUAUUAUAAUUCCUCCAGCAAGUUCCCAUUGUAUUUAUAGAGCUUGUUGUUGUUCAGUUAUUUCAGUCAUGGCUUAUUCUUUGUGUCCCUAUUUGGAGUUUUCUUAGCAAAGACACUGAAGUAGUUUGCCAUUUCCUUCUCUAGCUAAUUGGACAGAUGAGGAAACUGAGGGCAAAAACAGUGAAGUGACUUGCCUAGGGCCACACAGCUAGUAAGUGUCUGAAGCCAGAUUAGAACUCUUCCUGAAUCCAGGCCCCAUAUUCUGUCCACUGAGCCAUCUAAUGACCAUUUACAGGACUGCCUUCUUCCUGAUCAAGGAUACAGCAGAAGUAGGAGAUUCCCAACCUCAAGAAACUGAUUGUGUAUUUCUGCUUGACCAACUACUAAAUUAGAAAGACUCAUCUCAUGCUCAUGAAGUAGGUUCUUUGAUUUGCUUGGAUGAAAUAACUCACAAAUUACAUACAUGUCAUUUUCUUCUGACAUUAAAUGCAGACAGAAUCUGACUUUUUGGAACUGGGAAAUGGAGUUAUUUUCCAUCUACUUUUGUUAUUAUAUUAUUAAUAACAAUAUUAUCAACAUUAAUUAUCCUAAACUUUUUAAUUUCUAAGAGCAAGGCAGUAGGAAGAGAGAACUUAACUGCCCUUGGGGAGUUCGGGGGGUCAGGCCCAGUCAAGAAACAUCCCAGGGUCCUGAAAGAACUGAGAAAUGAUUGCUAAAAUCUCAUUUCUCAUUUUGAAGCAUCACAUGGUACAGGAGGACUGUUGCUUGCCUAGAGAAAGCCAAGUAUGGCCUCAAUUUUUGGAAAGGGGAAGAAAAUGGAGUCUGUUAACUGUCAAGCAUUGAGCUUGACCUUGACUCCUGGAAAAACUUUAAACUAUGUUAAAAGGGUAGUAAAUGAAAAUCUAGAGAAGGAAGUGGUGAUGACAAAGAGUCAGCAUGACUUUCUCAACAAUGGGUCAUAUAACACUAACUCAAUUUCCUUUUUUGAUGGGCUGACUAGACUGGUAGAUCAGGGGAAUACUGUAGAUAUAGUUUACCUAGAUUUUUGUAAAGCAUUUAACAGUCUUGUGCUAUUCUUAUGUAUAAGAUGGAGCCUAUACAAUCACAUGGUUAAGUGGAUUUGAAACUGCUUUCAUGAUUUGAUGGGGGAAAAAUUAUUCCUAUAAAGAUCUCUCUUGUUUUCAUUAAGCAACUUGAAUAAGAUUGUGCCUAACUUAUCUUUGGACUUUCCUGAAUACCUUCUAUAUAGUAAACAUUUGAUUACCGCCCCUGCUUCAAUUUACUCAUUUGUAAGAUGGUGAUAAUAAUAGGACCUACUUCCCAGGGUUGUUGUGACGAUAAAAUGUGAUAGUUGUAAAGCACUUUGUAAACCCUAAAGUGCUACAUAAAUGCUAGCUAUUAUUACAUAACAGAAGAGAAUUGACAUGGUUUAGUGGACAGAGAGGACAGCUGGGUGGUAAAGUGGAGAGAACACUGGGCUUGGAAUCAGAAAGACUCUUCUUCCUGGAUUCAAAUCAGGCCUCUUCACCUAUUUGCUUUAGUUUCCUUAUAGGUAAAUGAACUGGAGAAGGAAAAGGCAAACUACCCUCAUAAGCUUGCCAUGAAAACCCCAAAUGGGAUCACAGACAGUCAGGCAUGAUAAAAAUAACAAUAAUAAGUCAUUAGAGAGCAGAAAGACCAAGAUACACUGUCUUUGAGACCCUGGGCAAAUCAUUUAACCUCUUAGCAUUUUUUUUUAAACCCUUACCUUCCGUCUUGGAGUCAAUACUGUGUAUUGGCUCCAAGGCAGAAGAGUGGUAAGGGCUAGGCAAUGGGGGUUAAGUGACUUGCCCAAGGUCACACAGCUAGGAAGUGGCUGAGGCCAGAUUUGAACCUAGGACCUCCCGUCUCUAGGCCUGGCUCUUAAUCCACUGAGCUACCCAGCUGCCCCCUAUCCUCUUAGCAUUUUAGGCAGGUUCCUAAGACUAUAAGUUGCACAAAAGGUGCUAAAUGCAUUGGUUGAAAUGGUUCAUGUGGGAAUUUCUGAUGCCUUAUGAAAUCACAGAUCCAGCCCCUAGGCCUUAAUAUAAGGCACUGUGGAAUAAUAGAUAGCAAGUCAGCCUCAGAGACGGGGUAGACCUAGGUUCAAGUUUCACCCCUGACACUUAUUGACUGUGAGAUCCUGGGGGCAAAUCACUUGACUAUUCAGUUCCCAGGAAACUCUAAGAUUAUUAAUGGCAAGUCAGGUACUAAUCUGCAUUGGUAGAGAGAGUAUCCUUACACCAGUGAAUUCAGGUCCAUUUAAAAUACAUAUAUGUGUAUAGGUAGGAUAGUGGAUCCACAUCCUGGUUUCAAAUCUAGCCAGAGAUACUUUUAGCCAGGUAAUCCUGAGCAAGACACUUAACCCCAAUUGCUUUGCCCUUGCUGCUCUUCAGUCUUAGAAUUGAUACUCUGUGUGUGUGUGUGUGUGUGUGUGUGUGUGUGUGUGUGUGUGUGUGUGUGUGUGUAAAAUAGAAUUUGCUCUCAUAAUGGUCCCUUGAGGUAGAAAAAGGGAAGAUUUCAUUCUUAGCAUUUUCUUAGUUCAGAAAAGUUGUCUAAAUUGUUCAGGAUCACCCAAGCCAAGAACAUGGGGCAGAAUUAGAGUGGGGAUUAGAAGACAAGUGUCCUGAUUCUUGGUCCUAUAUAAUUUCUACUAUAUUAAACCCACUGUUUAUUUGACAAUUGAGGGUCCUUUGAGGGAAAACUCUAAUCAUUAUAAUCAAUAUAAUCAUUAUAAAUAAGAUUUUUCUCUCCCAAGUGGGCAAAUUAAUUUCAGUUGUGAGUCAAACCCUGCUGUGCCAGGGUCCCUCUCUUUAUGUAGAUAUUGAAUGAACCUCAUAAGAUUUCCUUCUAUCCAAAUCCCUAGCCCAUCAGGACAUGCAGAGAGAUUUGUGCCAAAUGAGAGAAGGAAAGAUUGAAUUAAAGAACUACCCAAGAAAGAAGUCAGCUUCAUAGUUUUUUAAAAAUGGAAAAAUUCUUGAUAAAAAUACUCCUAUUAGGGCCCUGGGUCAAAUUCUGUUAUUCUUCUUCCAGUCUCUAACCAUGGGAAAUUCUUUGAACAACUUUGAGACCUUAGGGAGAGGGUUAUACCCAUCUUGACUGUAAUGGAAUACCCUGACUAUUCUAUCGUCUACUGCAUCCACCAACCUGGAGGAUUCCUAAGUGCCCUAAGGGAGCCAGCCUAUUUCUCAACUUUGAAAGCAAGGACAGAUACACACUCCUUCCAGGCUGAGCCUUGGAAAAACCUUAAGCCAUUCACUUAAUGGUAUUCUCUUUGGGGUGAUCUCUGGUUUAGGCAAUUUGGUGGUGCAGUAAAUACCAUGAUGCACCAGGAUUGAGGAAAAUGAGUUCAAAACUGGCUCAGACCCUUCUUAGCUAGGAAACCUUAGACACAAAUCACUUAAGCUCUGUGUGCCUCCAUUUCUUCUACUAUAAAAUGAGAUAAUAAUACCUAUCUCACAUGCUUGUUGUGAGGAUAAAAUGAGAUAAUUCUUGUAAAGCAUUUUGCAAACCUUAAAAUAUUAUAUA